rnacentral:misc_RNA from 1 species
GAUGAAGAACGUAGCGAAAUGCGAUAAGUAAUGCGAAUUGCAGAAUUCCAGUGAGUCAUCGAAUCUUUGAACGCACAUUGCGCCCGCUAGUAUUCUGGCGGGCAUGCCUGUCCGAGCGUCAUUUCAACCCUCAAGCCCCCGGGCUUGGUGUUGGGGAUCGGCGAGCCUCCGCGCCCGCCGUCCCCUAAAUCUAGUGGCGGUCUCGCUGUAGCUUCCUCUGCGUAGUAGCACACCUCGCACUGGGAAACAGCGCGGCCACGCCGUUAAACCCCCAACUUCUGAACGUUUGACCUCGGAUCAGGUAGGAAUACCCGCUGAACUUAAGCAUAUCAAUAAGCGGAGGA